CUCACUUUAUUUACCAAUUUUCCCCCAAAUCAAACCCUAUUCCCUCCUCUUUCCAUUUUCUCACAAGAUAUUCAACUCCAAAGCAUUCAUCUCUGAAAUCGCUCAGCUCUGAUAGUCUCCUAAUCUUCGACAGUCUCUUCCUCUCUGAAUACCGAGAAAUAACUCCAAAGCUUGCACUGGUUGCAGGAGUGUUGGAUACUUCUUCGGCGAUUGCCCAAUAAAGUGUCAAUGCCCACGUUGUAUACACGUAUUUCAAAAGUUUUCACAGUUGAAAAGGACAAUGUUAACAAAGGUAAAUUCUUCAAAUGUUGCAGUGAGAAAUGUGGGUUUUAGGAUCAAUUCAAAGAUGGAGAAGCAAUCAGUGAAUCGUGUAACGAUAGAGUUACCUUAACUAAACCAAUGGUGCACAAAGAGGUUUAAGAUAUGUUGCGAAUGUUCCAAUCUCAAGUUUGGCUAAAUAAUGAAGAAGAACUCUUGAUUUCUUGAAUGUGAAUGUGAUAGGAUAAAUCACAUGUCGAAGGAAAUGAAGGGGGUAGAGACGAUUUGAUUUGUGGUUAAUGUUUGGCUGGCAACAUGGGCUUUCGUAUAUUUCUGUAUAUAAUGCAUGACAUUUUGUAUCCUCUUCAAUCUGGACUAGUAUGAUUUUUGGUGAAGUAGUUAUGUGAAUUUUCUUGAAGCUGUGAUUCUCAAUUUGGUCAAUUAGUUUAGUGCAGUACAUUGGUUGGUUUUAAUAUCACUGGAUGUCUUAAUUUAUGUA